rnacentral:ncRNA from 1 species
AAUGAUUCGUUGAAAAAGAGAGUACUUCAUUACAUGUUAUCAAAGCGAUUUCGGGAUGGUGAAAGCCGAAAAUAAACAAAUGAAGGAAGCGCACUUUUGAGGAUCUGCCUAGGCAGACGGUAAUCUUCCGUUAAUAGAUUAAGUGGGUCCGUCUUAGAAAAGUUCGGACAAUUAGAGUGGUACCGCGGGAAAUCUCGUCUCUGGU